AAACUUUUAACAACGGAUCUCUUGGUUCUGGCAUCGAUGAAGAACGCAGCGAAAUGCGAUAAGUAAUGUGAAUUGCAGAAUUCAGUGAAUCAUCGAAUCUUUGAACGCACAUUGCGCCCGCUGGUAUUCCAGCGGGCAUGCCUGUUCGAGCGUCAUUUC
rnacentral:rRNA from 3 species